AUGCUUGAUAUGGAGGUUGACCUCCAGGCGCUCGGAGAGCUUGUGGGUGCACUCCAGCGGGUCUCGAUGGCCACAUCGUACACCUUGGAGGCCAAGUGCCCAUCAGGUACUCCAUGGCACCUGGCCCAUCCAAGUCGUCUACCCGGUCCUACCCAGCUCCGUGUUCCCUCAUGCCUACAACGGACCUGCUCCCGCUCUACAAAGACUCGGGCACCAGGUGUGGGGAAAUCUUCAUUGGCACGUCUCAUUCUUCAAGGUUCUGCGGUUGCUCGACCGACCCAAACAAUUGGAUGUACAGUUGAUGUAAAACAUAUUACUUACGGAAGCCCAGGGAGUUCAUCUAAUAGCAUCGUCGGUGAUGCUGAAAGGAACUUCUUUGUCGAGCUUUGGGAUGUUUCAGGGCAUGAUCGCUACAGAGAUUGCCGUUCACUUUUUUAUUCACAAAUUAAUGGUGUCAUAUUUGUUUAUGACCUAUCUCAGAGGAAGACAAAGACAAAUUUGAGCAAGUGGGCAGUUGAGGUUGCUGAGUCUGGGACCUUUUCAGCUCCUCUUGGGUCUGGUGGUCCAGGAGGUCUUCCAGUUCCUUACCUAGUGAUUGCUAACAAAGUAGACAUUGCUCCAAGAGAUGGUAGAAGAGUUAGCAGUGGAAAUCUUAUUGAUGUUGCUCGUCAAUGGGUUGACAAGCAAGGCCUACUUCCAUCGAGUGAAGAACUUCCACUUGUGGAUAGCUUCCCUGGCAAUUCUGGUCUGCUCACGGCUGCAAAAGAGGCAAGAUAUGAUAAAGAAGCUGUGGUUAAGUUCUUCCGCAUGUUGAUAAGGAGGAGGUAUUUCUCGAAUGAACUUCCUGCCCCUAGCCCAUGGUCUCUCACUCCCAGAGGGGAUACCAUUCUUCCUGUAGAAACCACGAAUGACGAGGAGUUGUUCAAAAGGAAAAGCUAUGGCGGGCAGAGGUACAAAUACAACGGUGUCGCCCCACUAUCUGCACAGCAGAAUGUAACUCUACCACUCACUCCCUCUCCGCAGCAGCCAAUGUCCUCUUCCGCGGAGAACUACAGAUACCACAGAUUCUCGUCAUCGGCAAUUCCUGACAAAAACAGUAGUAGGACAAGCCGACUAGACAUCAAUUUAUGA
rnacentral:rRNA from 1 species